CAGUCGUACCGGCGGAUAAUCAGCCUUUCGGGUGCGAUUCUGUGGGGCGUGAGGAGCUUAACCGCCUUCAUGUUUUGCGUAUUCGUGCACAUUUGGUGUACUUGUCCGUGUGGUGGGUUAACAUCAAUUUCGGUCGUCAUAAAAUGACUGGAGGAAUGUAGCUUUGGUCUCGUAUCGAAGUGUCAUAGACUCUGGUAGAUGUGACGAUUGGGAUUGGAGGAUUGCAACGGAUACCCCUUUGGGGGCUACCCGUCUGAUCUCUGAAGGUUGCUCCGGUGCCGAAAGCGUGCUUACGGUCAUCGAAAGUGAUUUUCGAAAAGGUUAGAACGGUUAAAUUCGUUAAGGAUGUUGACGUAAUGGACUUUAAACGACCCGUCUUAGAAACACGGACCAAGGAGUCUAACAUAUGUG
rnacentral:rRNA from 1 species